rnacentral:rRNA from 1 species
ACAAGCGGUGGAGCAUGUGGUUUAAUUCGAUGCAACGCGAAGAACCUUACCUGGGCUUGACACUCCGGGAACUCCCCGUGGAAACGAGGGGAGGUGCCCUUCGGGAACCCGGUGACAGGUGGUGCAUGGUUGUCGUCAGCUCGUGUCGUGAGAUGUUGGGUUAAGUCCCGCAACGAGCGCAACCCCUACGUUUAGUUGCUAACGCGUGAAGGCGAGCACUCUAGACGAACUGCCGUUGACAAAACGGAGGAAGGUGGGAUGACGUCAAAUCAUCAUGCCCCUUAUGUUCUGGGCUACACACGUGCUACAAUGGCCGGUACAGACGGACGCAAAGCCGCGAGGUGGAGCAAAUCCUAAAAAGCCGGUCUCAGUUCGGAUUGCAGGCUGCAAUUCGCCUGCAUGAAGUCGGAAUCGCUAGUAAUCGCAGGUCAGCAUACUGCGGUGAAUACGUUCCCGGGCCUU